rnacentral:rRNA from 1 species
GACGAACGCUGGCGGCGUGCUUAACACAUGCAAGUCGAACGGAAAGGCCCUGCUUUUGUGGGGUGCUCGAGUGGCGAACGGGUGAGUAACACGUGAGUAACCUGCCCUUGACUUUGGGAUAACUUCAGGAAACUGGGGCUAAUACCGGAUAGGAGCUCCUGCUGCAUGGUGGGGGUUGGAAAGUUUCGGCGGUUGGGGAUGGACUCGCGGCUUAUCAGCUUGUUGGUUGGGUAGUGGCUUACCAAGGCUUGGACGGGUAGCCGGCCUGAGAGGGUGACCGGCCACAUUGGGACUGAGAUACGGCCCAGACUCCUACGGGAGGCAGCAGGGGGGAAUAUUGCACAAUGGGCGGAAGCCUGAUGAAGAAACGCCGCGUGCGGGAUGACGGCCUUCGGGUUGUAAACCGCUUUCGCCUGUGACGAAGCGUGAGUGACGGUAAUGGGUAAAGAAGCACCGGCUAACUACGUG